CCGGGACAUGGUCAUUAAGCCCCCAAAGGCGUUAUACAAACAAAACAACAUUUUCAAACGGGUCACAUUGAUAAUACCCAACUACUAAUGAGUUAAGGUCAAUUGCCCGACCAAGCGGUAUUUUAUAUACCGUACCCCAAGCCCGUAUAAGGGAAAAUAAGUUAAAAGUAUUUACCUGAGCUAAAUAUAAAUUUAAUCCCAGCCGUAUACCACCAAGCAAGUACAGAUAGCUUUUACUGGGCUCCUAAAUCUGGAACGAAGGUUUUUAAUAACCUAUUAGAUUUCUAACGGGUCUUUAAUUUGGCCUAAGCCUAGACCGGUUAGUUCUUAAAUGAAGAUUACGGUUUAAACGCACGAUAAGGUGAAGACCGUUUUUAGAAUGUGGUUUUGACCCAACAUGCUUGCAUACUUGUUUAAUAUGGGUAACUUAAUCACAUUCUGGAUUUUGAGACCGAAAUGAUAUGGUUUGACCCGUUUCGGCUAUAAUGGGUAAACUAGUUACCUACGCCAAUCCGAACGCAUAAAGUGCGUAACGAGCAACCAUAAGAGUCAAAUACAAGUUUCCGAGGUUAAUAUGCCAAAAAUAUGUUGUGAUAUCAGAAUGAUACCUUCCAUUAUGCCCCAAAUGGUUUUAAACCCAAACUAUGCCUCAUAAGGGCAUUUUGGUCACUUUAAAGGGUGUAAAAGGGUUUAAAUGACAUUCUCAGUUACAGUAGGGUAUUGAUCCUAUUGCGAAAUUUAUCAAUCUUAACCAUUCUAGACACCGUAGGGGCGUUUUGGUAAUUUCACUUGGGCCUAAAAGGUCAAAACUGGAAUUCUGAUCUCAAGAUAUUCUCCUACUGUUUAAAAUAUAAAAUUUUACUGAAUACAUCAGUAGGUUUCGACCUUAUAUGCUUAAAUUGGUUCUAGCACAUACUUAUGUCUUAAAAACGCUUAAAAAGGCGAUUUGGAGCCAUUUCCGGGUUUUAUAUAGAAAGCUGAUAUUUUUAAAAUUCCAGAAGGCUCAAAAUAAUUUAUUUAACAUAUUAGAUCAGUAGAAAAAGGUUUGGGGUCAAUCGGAUUUAUAAAACUCAUUUUAUAGCCCAAAAGGGCAAAACCGGCAUUAGCCGAAUUAAGCUUAGAACACUAAGUUAUGCU
rnacentral:lncRNA from 1 species